UCGGGAGGACGGGUAUAUAAACACAUGUGCGGAAGAUUUUAGUACAGUUGCCUACGAGUCUUCUGAGAGUCAGCAUGGUGGCGUUCAAGAGUGUGUUGGUACUGUUAGUGGCACUGGUGUGCAUGGUGGUCGCCAUGCCAGAUGGAUACAAGCAGGAGCAGCUGGCCCGCGUCAAGAUGCAGGUCUACCGAGGACCGACCAAGGGCAAAGGCUAUGACACAUUCGCUCCCUGGGGGUUCUACGUCCAGCAGCCAGAGGACUACAAAGGUUACCAUCAUUAAAAUGAUAUUCUGAAGACAGACGCUAGCUGGACCAACCCUGCCCUUCUGAAUGCAUGUUGCUAAGGAAGACAACUCUUCACCCACCUUGAUCCUUAACCAAGUCCCCUACUGGGGUCAACUAGGAACAACAAGUAAAGGCCCAAGCUUAACCAUACCUCUCACAUAUAGCUGGGUCUCCAUCACCACCAUACUCACUUCACGAUUAAAUUUUCCAGCUUUACCUGGCUAACUGUGGGAUGCCUAAAAGAACCAGUGUGUGGCUCCAUAAGCAUCUCAGCAGUACAAGGUCAAAAUAGCAGAGGGGGGCUUUUCAUGUGAUGUUAGUGUUGUAAGAGUUUUAACAAGACACGUGUGACUAUUUAUUUUGUUCAUAAGUUUAUUUACUUUGUUAUGUAUUUUGGAGUUUAAGAUUUUGUUGUGUGUGCAUGUUUUUCUGAUACACAAGCCUUUAUAAUAAAAUCUAAAAUCCAACUUGUUAGUAAAUUGCAUGUGUAGAUUGCAAAUCUUCUCCAACAAGGAUGCCAUAUCUCCAGAAAUCUCGAAAAUAUGUAAAAAAUUGAAGUACUGUAAUAACUUUUUCCUUUAAUAGUCAGACUGGUAUCCUCUCCACCAACAAACACUAUUCAUUGAAUAUUAUACAAAAAGUAAUGAGAAUAUCAUAAUCAGAAUUGAUUAGGGAUGAAAUCUCAAACAAAGAUGAUAAUAAAGGUCUGGGACCCCAACCCUGUGGUAACAUGGAGGUUAGCCUUAACUCA